AUUGAACGCUGGCGGCAGGCCUAACACAUGCAAGUCGAACGAGAGGCGGAUGGGUGAGUAAUGUCUGGGAAACUGCCCGAUGUGGGGGGAUAACUACUGGAAACGGUAGCUAAUACCGCAUACCAUCCGAUGUGACCAGAUGGGAGUAGCUAGUAGGUGGGGUAACGUCUCACCUAGGCGACUAUCCCUAGCUGGUGUGAGAGGAUUACCAUCCAUGCGGGAACUGAGACAGUGUCCAGACGCCUACGGUAGGCAGCAGUGGGGAAUAUUGCACAUAGGGCGCAAGCCUGAGGUAGCCAUGCCGCGUGUAUUAAGAAGGCCUUCGGGUUGUAAAGUACUUUCAGCGAGGAGGCGUUACUCGCAGAAGAAGCACCGGCUAACUCCGUGCCAGCAGCCGCGGUAAUUC
rnacentral:rRNA from 1 species